AUGAUUGAUCUGGAUUUUACAGAUAAGCCUAAAUUACCAGAAAACUACACAGAUGAAACAUGGCAAAAACUGAAAGAAGCAGUGGAAGCUAUUCAGAAUAGUACUUCGAUUAAGUACAACUUAGAAGAACUGUACCUGGCUGUAGAAAAUCUUUGUUCUUACAAGAUUUCUGCAAACUUGUACAAAUAGCUGAGACAGAUUUGUGAAUAUCACAUCAAAGCAUAGAUUCCUCAAUUCAGAGAGGAUUCAUUGGAUAGUGUUCUUUUUCUAAAGAAGAUCGAUAGAUGCUGGCAAAACCAUUGCAGACAAAUGAUCAUUAUCAGGAGCAUUUUUUUGUUUUUGGAUAGAACUUAUGUUCUUCAGAAUUCAAUGCUACCAUCCAUUUGGGACAUGGGACUGGAGUUAUUUAGGGCUCAUAUUAUAAGUGAUCAAAGAGUCCAGAAUAAGACAAUUGAUGGCAUUCUUCUCUUGAUUGAGAGGGAAAGGAAUGGUGAAGCAAUUGAUAGAAGUUUGCUCUGAAGCCUUUUAAGUAUGCUCUCUGAUUUGCAAAUUUAUCAAGAUUCUUUUGAGCAAUGAUUUUUGGAAGAAACUAACCGGCUCUAUGCAGCUGAAGGCCAAAAAUUAAUGCAAGAAAGAGAGGUUCCUGAAUACCUUCAUCAUGUUAACAAACAUCUAGAAGAAGAAGCAGACAGACUUAUUACUUACUUAGAUCAGACCACCCAGAAGUCAUUAAUUGCUACUUUUGAAAAACAGUUUUUAGGUGAACACUUAACAGCAAUUCUUUGGAAAAGUUUAAAUAACCUCCUUGAUGAAAACCGAAUUCAAGAUUUGUCUCUCCUGUAUCAACUCUUCAGUAGAGUUCGAGGUGGAGUUCAGGCUCUCUUACAGCAGUGGAUUGAAUACAUCAAGGCAUUUGGCAGCACGAUUGUAAUUAAUCCUGAAAAAGAUAAAACUAUGGUUCAAGAAUUGCUGGACUUUAAAGAUAAAGUUGACCAUAUAAUUGAUAUCUGCUUUCUGAAGAAUGAAAAAUUUAUCAACGCCAUGAAAGAAGCAUUUGAAACAUUCAUUAACAAGAGACCAAAUAAGCCUGCUGAACUUAUAGCUAAGUAUGUAGAUUCAAAGCUUCAUGCCGGCAACAAAGAAGCUACAGAUGAAGAACUUGAGAAAAUGUUGGAUAAAACUAUGAUCAUAUUUAGAUUUAUCUAUGGCAAGGAUUUUUUGAGGCCUUCUAUAAGAAAGAUUUAGCCAAGCGCCUGUUAGUUGGGAAGAGUGCAUCUGUAGAUGCUGAAAAAUCAAUGCUGUCCAAACUUAAGCAUGAAUGUGGAGCUGCUUUCACCAACAAACUAGAAGGAAUGUUUAAAGUUAUGGAACUUUCUAAAGACAUUAUGAUUCAAUUCAAACAGUAUAUGCAGAAUCAGAACGUACUUGGGAAUAUUGAAUUAACUGUGAAUAUCCUGACAAUGGGUUAUUGGCCAACAUAUGUGCCUAUGGAAGUCCAUUUACUACCAGAGAUGGUAAAACUCCAAGAGAUUUUCAAGACAUUUUACCUAGGUAAGCAUAGUGGCAGGAAACUUCAGUGGCAGUCUACCCUAGGACACUGUGUGCUAAAAGCAGAAUUUAAAGAAGGUAAAAAAGAACUCCAGGUCUCUCUUUUUCAAACCCUGGUGCUACUAAUGUUUAAUGAGGGAGAGGAGUUCAGCUUAGAAGAGAUCAAACAGGCUACAGGAAUAGAGGAUGGAGAAUUAAGGAGAACACUGCAGUCAUUAGCCUGUGGCAAAGCUAGAGUUCUGGCAAAAAAUCCAAGGGGCAAAGAUAUCGAAGAUGGUGACAAGUUCAUUUGUAAUGAUGAUUUCAAGCACAAACUUUUCAGGAUAAAGAUUAAUCAAAUCCAGGUGAAAGAAACGGUUGAGGAACAAGCAAGCACUACAGAAAGAGUAUUUCAAGACAGACAGCAUCAAAUUGAUGCUGCAAUUGUUCGAAUUAUGAAGAUGAGAAAGACACUUAGCCAUAAUCUCCUUGUUUCAGAAGUAUACAACCAGUUGAAAUUUCCAGUAAAGCCUGCUGAUCUUAAGAAGAGAAUAGAAUCCUUAAUUGACCGGGACUACAUGGAAAGAGAUAAAGAAAAUCCAAACCAGUACAACUAUAUUGCUUAGAAUGUUGGCCUUGGAAUAUUUGGUGUCAUAUGCAGUAGCCAGUGGAUAAACUAACCUGUUGAUCCUAUAUUAUUUGACUUCUUUUAUACUACCGAUGACCAAAUGAAGCAGUGUAAUUAAUGGAAAUAGUUGAGUGGACUUUUUUCAGUGGUUAACAUGCCCAUUUUAAAGAGUAAUACUUACCUUUAAGAAGAAUGUUGUUGAACUCUUUGCAUGUUAUUUAGUAUGAUGUGCAGAAAACACUUAAGAAAGUACCUGGUCUUCAUGAUUCCUCUUUGGAACUGGGGAAAAGGUCCCUAUCGCUAUUAAGGGGGGUUCUUAUACACCAUAAAUUAUGAAGCAAAAGGUUUAUUUGCUUAAAAUGUCAUUUAAAGUACUUAAACUGCAUGCAAACUUUAUUUACUGUACAGAGUUCUGGAUGUAUUUAUCAAAUAGAAAAACCACCCCUGACUUGGUUGUUCACCUGUUUUGUGAUUUCCCUUGAAAAGAAAAAUAAGUUGUCAUAGCUAUUGAUAUUUAACUAGAUAAUGUUCUUUUACACUGAAAGUGAUUUCUAAAGAAACUUAUUUAGAAACAAGUUUUCAAGUAGGGGGACAGUUACCUACACAAUAUCUUAUAUAUUUGCAUCCUAUAAUUUUUCAUUUAUGAGUAUGGGAUGUGUUUAUAUGGCUUAGCCCUGAGUUUACUGUGCUAAUUAAUAAGUACUUACAAAAAUAGCUGAAAUAGAAAAUUGCUGAUCAAUUGUACUAGAGGGACAUAGUAGAGAAAAAUCCAACUCUUUAUAUUAAAAAUGAAUUCAGUAAGAAAAUUGCAAGAGAGACCAAAAUGAACAUGUUUUGUAAAUCAUUUCAGGAGCAAAAAUUCAUCAACUAGUUUUCAAUAUAUUUUAGACCUUCAAUGGACAGUUUGUCUUCAACUUGGACCGAUUGUAGAUUGGUUACAGGCUUCCCAGUAUUUAGCAUUCCUAUUUUCUCUACCAAAGUUUUUUUUUGGAAACCUCCCAACUUUUCUCUUUGUUGAUAAAUUACCCUUCCCUAUCAUCUUCAUUUUAACUUCCUAAAACUCUAGAUAUAAAUGUCCUCCCUCAUUUUCCCCACACAUUGCCUAUUUGAGAAUUUGAAAUUCUGUCUCAUGCUGAUCUUCCUUUCAAAACUGCUUGAAGUUCCAAGUUCUCUUAGCCACUGGACACCUGCUUUUCAGGGGAAUAUCCCAGGAUUGUUCAUACUUAGAACAUGGCAAAGUAUUGUUUUUCAAAUCGAUAAUGUG